UGUUCAUAAUUUCGAUUGCGUCCAGCUUUGAACAAUUUCGGCACAUCUCUUUUGCAAUUCUUACCAAUAUGUUAUCCUUGGGGUAGAGUUUUUUUUUUGUAAUUACAAAAUUGCAUGAUAAAGUCCAUUUCACUGCCAAAAUAGUUCCUAUUGAAACCCAAAGACUCGCGUGUCAAAAACUUAAGGAUUCUGAAUUUGGAUUUGGCCUAUUUUUAUGGUUUUUGUUUCCCAAAUUAUGCUUUGCAGUUGUUUAAAUGAUGUUACAUAAAUAUUUCGUUAAGCUUUAAAUUUUCUAAAAUGAGCUGCAAAACUAUAUUUCAGCAUAUUUAAAGCAGCUGAAAGAGAAAUUGUUAAAAAAGUAAAAAAAAAAUUAUGUUUAACGUCUCAACGAAAUCAACAUAGGCCGCACUGAGAAACUUACACAUCGAAUUUUUGAAGAAUACUUUUAGGCACACUUAAAAAUUACGUCAAAACGCAUAACUUGUAAUACGCGAGAUUUCUCACUCUCUCCCGCGGAGAUCGGUCCUUUAGACCGAAACGAGCUUGCUCACAUGCAGGAGCUUGACAAGUAUCGCCAUCUCCACACACAAACGUGGACACAACACCAACAAAAGGAGGCAAAUGUAGAAAGCAUAUCCAAGCCAUUAAAGACUUUUAGACUAACAAGCCUUAA
rnacentral:sRNA from 1 species